rnacentral:misc_RNA from 1 species
GGCGCACAGAGCGAACUUCAACCGGCACCUGGUAGGUGGCGCCACCGACGCGGCGCGAACGCACUUCGAUGGUCGGCAUGACGUUUUCCAGCGCCUGCUCGAACACCGGCAGCGGACCCUGCUUGGUCUUCUGCUCGAUCAUCUCGAGCGCACCGUAGACGAUGCUUUCGGCGGCAGACUUCUUGCCGUCGUACAUGAUCGAAUUCAUGAACUUCGUGAUGAUGAUAUUCCCG